rnacentral:rRNA from 1 species
GUGCAGCAGUCGAGAAACCUCCGCAAUGCGCGCAAGCGCGACGGGGCCAUCCCGAGUGCCGCUCGCUGAGGGCGGCUUUUCUCCGGUGUAAGUAGCCGGAGGAAUAAGGAGAGGGCAAGUCUGGUGUCAGCCGCCGCGGUAAUACCAGCUCUCCGAGUGGUGGGGACGAUUAUUGGGCCUAAAGCGUCCGUAGCCGGCUUGACAAGUCUCCCGUUAAAUCCAGCGGCCUAACCGCUGGGCUGCGGGAGAUACUGUCAAGCUUGGGGGCGGGAGAGGCCGGCGGUAUUCCCGGGGUAGGGGUGAAAUCCGUUAAUCCCGGGAGGACCACCAGUGGCGAAGGCGGCCGGCCAGAACGCGCCCGACGGUGAGGGACGAAAGCUGGGGGAGCGAACCGGAUUAGAUA